rnacentral:rRNA from 1 species
UACGUAGGGGGCAAGCGUUGUCCGGAAUCAUUGGGCGUAAAGAGCGUGUAGGCGGCCUGAUAAGUCGGCUGUGAAAGUCAAGGGCUCAACCCUUGAAUGCCGGCCGAUACUGUCAGGCUAGAGUCCGGAAGAGGCGAGUGGAAUUCCUGGUGUAGCGGUGAAAUGCGCAGAUAUCAGGAAGAACACCAAUGGCGAAGGCAGUUCUCUGGGACGGUACUGACGCUGAGACGCGAAAGCGUGGGGAGCGAACAGG